rnacentral:lncRNA from 1 species
CUCAGGUGGCAAUAGGAUCACCUUUUUGUUUUUGCAAGCAGUUCCUGAAUGCUGUUUAUUGUGAGUGAUCGGCAUCCUCUGCUGUUUCCGUGAUUUUGUUGCUGAUUAUGUAAAUGUUUAAUAGUGAUUUUUAUCUUUUUGUUGCCUUGAGCACGUCCAUGGAAAAAGCUAUGGACAAAUAAAUAAAAUAAACUAUUUGUUAUAUUUAGGAGACCCUGGUAGUGGAAAGACUACCAUGAUUGAGAGCAUGCUUCAAAAACUUCAGAGACAAGGUGGAUUAAGUAUAAGAAUGGGAACUCUUUUAGGAGAUGUCUUUUAUUACAGAGAAACAACAAGAACCAGCUUGAUGAGAUCUGGACUUCGUUCUUCUGGGAGAACACCACACGCUUCAGCUAGAGAGAUAUGUAUGAUGACAUUGAUUGUUAUAUAAAUUAAGAAAAAUAUUCAUGUUCAGAUUUUUUGAUUUUAAAGAUAUCAUGCUGCACCUUCAAUAAUGUUUGGAGCAAAUGGCACAAUUUAAUAAGGCAAUGAAAUUGCUCGUGGUGCAGAAGUAAAAUAGGUUGUAUUGAUGACAUUCCCUUAGUGAUUGGUUGCCGUACUGCUCUUAAAAUAGGGACAGAUUUAAGGCUCGUUCACACUUCUAACUGUUCUAUCCUUUCUAGGCACGGGUCUGAGCAGUUUUGCCUUUUCCCUGCCACUUUCCCCCAGAAAAAUCACACUUUAGCAAUAAUUGGAACAAAUGACAAUGCUGAAACCCCAAUUGCCAUUUGUUUCGAUUCAGCCUUCAAGACUGGGCUCCCAGGGGAAAGUGGUGGAGCAAACAGAGAUCUGGAUAAGCUCUAGAAAGACCAAGGGACCUCCAAGCAGAUAACGUUUGCAAGAGUGUUUCAAUCCCCUGCUAGCUUAGUUUACGUAACACAGCAAGGAAAGCUGCUUGGUUUCUGCUCAGACCAGGUAAUGGAAUUGAUGGAGAGUUGGGGAGAACUGAAGGCAUUUGUUGUUUAUCUGCAAGAUACUUUUAUUGAGUACAUUUUAGUUCCUGGGGCGUCGUAUCCAAUGUAAUGAGUGUUCACCUUGUCGGGAGACACUAGACAGCAGCAAAGACUUGUGGGAAGUAGGCUGGACUCCCUCAGUUUUUCCUCCUGUCUAGACGCAGACAGUACGUUCCUCCCAACUCUCCUGACUCAGCUAGGUUUUUUACUAGUUUCUGAACCUCCGAUUUCCCUUAUUGUCAUUUUAGUUUUACAGUUGUUUGUUUGUCUGUGCAUUGUGGAUUUUUCACAAAAAAAAACUUUCUGUUGCUCUUUAUGUUUGGUCCUUCCACUUAUUUGCUCCCCCAGCCCUUCCAAAAAAGCAUCUUACUUCCAUAAUUUUACCUCAGUCCCAGUCUCACAAUACAGAGCAGGCCUCAGCUCCUAAAAGUGCUUCCUUCCACUCAGUCGAAUGGUAAGAUUAUACCGUUACCUGCUGGUGAGGCCCAGGUUGACGCUUUAUCAGAUUCUGAGCCGUAAUUUCUAGGUUUUACUGAGGAACAGGGACAAGAGCAUCAUGAUCCUUCUCCAGCUGCUCAAGGUGCUCUACCCCCCAUUUCUCAAACCUUUCCAGCCUCAUUGAUUGAGCAGUUGAAGUAAGCUAAGGAGAAGAGGCUAAGGUUUCCUCUUCCUUCCUCUCCAUCCUCUUUGCUAGAAGCAGAAGUUGAUGAUAAUUGGAGUGAUGGUUCUGUUCAAGACGAAUCAUUUGCACCAGCUUGUAUCACACAGAAUCAAUUAGCAUAGAAAAUAUUUCUACACUUUAAACCAAUACUUUCUGUACCAAAAAAUGCAAAACUGACACUCCCAUCCCAUUGAGAGCCCAGCAUUAUUUGGGUCAGAGCCCUAAGAAUAAUCUUAGCUCUAAUUUCUUUUAAUUUCUCAUCCAAUAAUUGCUGUAAGAUGCCAGCAGUCAAUGAAAUGUUUUUUGCCAUAUUGAAUGUUCUUGGUCUUAUUAGCAAUUCAAUCUGUACCUUAAAAUAUUCAAUCCCCCAUCUCCACUUUAAGAUCUUCACAGCAUAAUCUCUUAUCAAAGCACAUUCCUUUCCCACGAAGUCAGUAUGAAGUAGUAAAAUUACUUUCAGUUCCAGUGCAACAUUUCCAUUAGGAAAACAGAGAAUUAAAAAUAAAGCAUUCAGAGAAUGGCCCUUGACCAUUUUAAACUUUCUUGGUUCAAAGAAUUAGAGUGUAUUUUUAGUUCAGCCUUUUAUGAUCGGCUCUCCAGGAGUCAGAAAGUAGCUCACUCACCAGAAGUAAAUUUUUACAGGCAGACAGAGAAACCUUCAAAUUUGUGAAUUACAGUGGUACCUCGGGUUACAGACACUUCAGGUUACAGACUCUGCUAACCCAGAAAUAGUACCUCGGGUUAAUAACUUUGCUUCAGGAUGAGAGCAGAAAUUGUGCUCUGGCAGCACGGCGGCAGCAGGAGGCCCCAUUAGCUAAAGUGGUAUCUCAGGUUAAGAACAGUUUCAGGUUAAGAACGGACCUCCAGAACGAAUUAAGUUAUUAACCCGAGGUACCACUGUAUAUCUGUCUCAGGUAUAGUUGAAGAUAGUUAGAGAAAGGGAGGUUUUGCCCAUUAGAACUCUUAUGUGGCUUUUGGACACAAUAUUGGUUUCUCUGCUCUUAGUCACUCACCUUUGCCAGUGUUCUGAGGUGCUGAUAGCUUCUUAGUCUCCCAAUGUAGGCAACAGCUUUUGCAGAGCAUCAGAGGUUAAAUAUCCUGUUCACUCUUAUCAUAUCCAAGUUCACUCAAUUCAAUAGCCAAGAUUUAUGGCCUGGCUAUCAUCAAUCACCACAUAAUCAUCUGUGUUGGCAAGCUGCUGACGGAAGACGAUCAGUCCACCAUUUUCCUCCAUCAGAAGUCCAGAGAAGUAAAACUUUCAGAUGAUAACUGUUUCAGUUUACAUAUUGAUUUGGAAAGUGCAGAUUCGGCGGGUUCAAAUUAAAGUAUGAGCUGAACAAAUCCUUCCCACAUCCCUAGCUGUAAAGGUCUUUAAAGAACAAAAGUAGCAUUUAUAUUUUGACUAAAAAUUAAUUGGAGGAAGGUUUGCAGGGGCAGAUAUUAUGGUAGGAGGGCUUACCAUUCAACAAGGUAGUUUGAGAUUUUCUCUUAUUCUUAAAAUAAAGCUAAGAUGUUGUGCAGAAAUAUGUAUUAAAACAUUCUGUAUAUAUUGUGCUCACUUUCAGCUCCAAUGUAAAACAUUCAGAUUAAUGAUUGCUAGUACCUCUUCAGUCAGAUGAAUUGAUGUUUAGUAGUAGGAAAAUUACUACUAAACUAGCAACUAUACACUAUAAACUAUAAACUUUAAACUAGUAACUAUUACUUACUAGCGGGAAGGUAAACGGUGUUUCCGUGUGUGGCUCUGGCUCGCCAGAGCAGCGAUGUCACGCUGGCCACGUGACCCGGAAGUGUCUCCGGACAGCGCUGGCCCCCGGCCUCUAGAGUGAGAUGGGCCACAACCCUAGAGUCUGUCAAGACUGGCCCGUACGGGCAGGGGUACCUUUACCUUUACCUUUUAGUAGGAAAAUUAUUUUAUUGUUGAAGUCAUCCAAUUUUGUUGCUUUAUAGAUAAAAAUGUUAAAACCCUCAAUUAAGAAUUAAGUUGCAAAUAUCCUUAUAGUCAGAAAAUUAACAAGUAAUGUAUUUUACCUGUUAAUGCUUUUCAUUGGCAAAUAGAAUAAAAAUAGCAUACUGUGAUAGGUUAGAAAGGUGCUGUUUAUUAAUCCUGUAGGGUUCUAACUGUUAACUUUGUAUUAGUGUCAACCCUGAGCUCUCCAAGAGAAGAGCCUGAUCUGGAAGAAACAUGUACAAGUGGUACUAUUAUUUCUACGCUGCAGUUGAGUGCUCAUACCAGUGCUGCCCAAACAAAGGCUUUGAUUCUUCAGAAAUUAAUACUAAAAAGUAAAGAUAUCCUGGGUGCUCCACAAUUUAAACAGGUAAGAAGUAGGUGAAGAUCUUUUGGGGAAGUUUAUUAAAAAUAUACUAUGAAUAAUUCAUUAUAUUAUAUGUUAUAUGACAAGUAGGUCUGGAUGAUAUAUUGUCCAAAACCAGUUUGAAGUCCGUAUUGUGAUAUCGGUUUCAUAAUUUUUUAACCUGGCAAUAUAUUGUGAAUCAUGGGGUGUGUGGGUGUGUACGCUAUGCAAAAACAAUGAUGCGAGAAAAACCAUAAAGCCAAGCCAGUGCCUCUAUAUAGUUCCAUCCUUAUUUCAGACAUUGUGAAAUAUUGGUAUAUCACAAUGUUUCGCUGGUGAAAUAUCGUGACGGUGAAUACCAAGUAUCACUCGGGCCUAAUGACAAGUAGAAAUUCACAACAAAAAAAUCUGUACAUCCGCUCUCCCUAACAGGCAUAGAACAGGCGUAUUGUACCACUCUUUGACGUGUGAGAGCCUUUAUUUUGAGGUUA